rnacentral:rRNA from 1 species
AUGUACGUGUGUGUAGGACUCAAGUACGGGCUGAAAGUGUGUUGCGGCACCGGUGGGCAUGGGUCGUACAACUACAACAACGGGAACAUUCGUGGUUGUUUGGGGCCUUUCAUGAGUGUGAGAGAUGAAUGCACUCUAGCUGAUGCCAGCUACGAUCGACGCCCAUACUGGAGCCGGAGUACAAGAGGAAAAAAGAAAAAGAGAAGCCCAACAGCAGCCAGCCGGCCCAAGGCCCAAAGCUCGUCCUGGCUUAAAACCCUAGCCCCACUCUCGUUCGACCCCCUCGUCCUCCCUCAGCGCCGUCACAGAGACAGGGGCAGGCGCCCUCCUCUGCUUCCCCCGAUGCCCAUCGCCUGCCCGCUCUGCACCGCUGAAUCCUCCCCGCCGGCAGAUUGUGAGGUUGAACUUCUUUACCGGCCUGUAAAUGUGCCCGUGCGUUUCAACGGGUUCACUGCAGAGCAAACACUUAGUCCUUCUCAUGACACAUCUCUACUUAUGUGGUAUACUGAAAGUCCAAUCCUCUAUCUGCAUUCUAGCUUGAGCGUGGAUGUGACAUUGCAGAAACAUGAUGGAUCUGCUACGUGGAUAACAAGACAUGUUACUGCAAAAAAGAAAUCGAGGAUCCCCAUAUCCAAAUUGCAGAUCCCCAUUUGGUCAGGUCUUUACCUAAAGAAGCAACAUCCACAGAGGAAGCUUUCAGUGACUGGCUAA